rnacentral:rRNA from 1 species
UACGGAGGGGGCUAGCGUUGUUCGGAAUUACUGGGCGUAAAGCGCACGUAGGCGGCUUUGUAAGUUAGAGGUGAAAGCCCAGGGCUCAACCCUGGAAUUGCCUUUAAGACUGCAUCGCUAGAAUUGUGGAGAGGUAAGUGGAAUUCCGAGUGUAGAGGUGAAAUUCGUAGAUAUUCGGAAGAACACCAGUGGCGAAGGCGGCUCACUGGCCUGGUAUUGACGCUGAGGUGCGAAAGCGUGGGGAGCAAACAGG